GUUGAAAACAAGCUGAUCAACACCCAACACUUGUUAAUUUCACUGACAAACAAUCUAAGUUCAGAGAUGAAGGUCUUGCCUGCAGCUCAAACUCAGGCUCCUAGGAGCUAGUUGUGCCCAGGGCACCAGGCAACGGUCCACAGUCACAGCAGAGAACUGGAAGGUACUGAUGUCAUGGAAUGUCAGGGGCCCCUGCCUUCCAAAAGCCCACUGUGCUGAUGCACAAGGUCCCCAGUCUCCUCAGAAAGUCACCACUGAUGAGCACCUCCCACUCACACAUCAGUCCCAAAGGUUGUAUAACCUUGGGCUGAUCCCAACCACCUCCUUCCCCAAAACCUCAGCCAUGUUUCCAGGCAGGCUGAACAGUGCAAGACUCACCUUUCUGUAAGGUCAACAGAAGCGACUGGUCCUAUUAGUCUUCUGGUAUAUGUGGUCAUCAUGGUGGACAUCUGGAUAUGAUGCUUUCUUCAAGGGUCACCAGCACUGCUGAAGGCCACCAAAGUGCUCUCUGUACAUCAACACAGUUCCCUCUCUUCCACUGCAUCCUGCCGCUUCACUUUCUCUGUGGCAUCUUGACCCUGACAGAGAUUAAAGGUCCAGCCUCAAA